GAAAAUUGAACGAGGGUGAAAUUGUGUCGAGCGAAUUAUUUGUUUACAUAUUAUGUACAAUUUUUGCUCAACAAAGUGCUCAAAGCUCAAAAGUCUAAUAGUUCAAAAUUUUGAAUCUGCAGCUUUAUUCAAUGGAUGGUGUGGAAAUAGUGAUGAUGCGUACAACAUGUUGGUUCAGGUGAUGCAGAUGAUGGCAUUUCUGACUUGUAUAUUCAAGUAAGAUGUCUCUCUCAGAUUGAGGCGGAGUGCUAUAUUAAAGAUGCAGAAGACGAAGACUUGUCUUGGUAGAACUUCAAUCAAGAUACUCAGUUGAUGGUAAGUUUUACCUGUAGAUGAUGCAGAUGAUGGCUUUUUCCACUUGUAUAUUUAAGAUCUCUCCCAGAUUGAGGCAGAGUGCUAUAUUAAAGACACAGAAGACGGAGACUUGUCUUGGUAGAACUUCAAUCAAGGCAAAGACUGUCGGGUUUUCUAUUAAAUUCUAGUUUUCCGAUUUGAGUUGAUUGAGAUUAAUUGAGUUUGUCUUAAGGUAUUUCAUAUUUGUUGUAUGGUCUUUUUAUAGAUGUGAAAGAAAAGCCUAUCUUUUUCGUGAAAUGAAUGAGUCUUGAGAUCUCA